rnacentral:rRNA from 1 species
UACGUAGGGUGCGAGCGUUAAUCGGAAUUACUGGGCGUAAAGCGUGCGCAGGCGGUGAUGUAAGACAGGUGUGAAAUCCCCGGGCUUAACCUGGGAACUGCAUUUGUGACUGCAUAGCUGGAGUGCGGCAGAGGGGGAUGGAAUUCCGCGUGUAGCAGUGAAAUGCGUAGAUAUGCGGAGGAACACCGAUGGCGAAGGCAAUCCCCUGGACCUGUACUGACGCUCAUGCACGAAAGCGUGGGGAGCAAACAGG